rnacentral:rRNA from 1 species
GACGAACGCUGGCGGCGUGCUUAACACAUGCAAGUCGAACGGAAAGGCCCUGCUUUUGUGGGGUGCUCGAGUGGCGAACGGGUGAGUAACACGUGAGUAACCUGCCCUUGACUUUGGGAUAACUUCAGGAAACUGGGGCUAAUACCGGAUAGGAGCUCCUGCUGCAUGGUGGGGGUUGGAAAGUUUCGGCGGUUGGGGAUGGACUCGCGGCUUAUCAGCUUGUUGGUGGGGUAGUGGCUUACCAAGGCUUUGACGGGUAGCCGGCCUGAGAGGGUGACCGGCCACAUUGGGACUGAGAUACGGCCCAGACUCCUACGGGAGGCAGCAGUGGGGAAUAUUGCACAAUGGGCGGAAGCCUGAUGCAGCAACGCCGCGUGCGGGAUGACGGCCUUCGGGUUGUAAACCGCUUUCGCCCGUGACGAAGCGUGAGUGACGGUAAUGGGUAAAGAAGCACCGGCUAACUACGUGCCAGCAGCCGCGGUGAUACGUAGGGUGCGAGCGUUGUCCGGAUUUAUUGGGCGUAAAGGGCUCGUAGGUGGUUGAUCGCGUCGGAAGUGUAAUCUUGGGGCUUAACCCUGAGCGUGCUUUCGAUACGGGUUGACUUGAGGAAGGUAGGGGAGAAUGGAAUUCCUGGUGGAGCGGUGGAAUGCGCAGAUAUCAGGAGGAACACCAGUGGCGAAGGCGGUUCUCUGGGCCUUUCCUGACGCUGAGGAGCGAAAGCGUGGGGAGCGAACAGGCUUAGAUACCCUGGUAGUCCACGCUGUAAACGGUGGGUACUAGGUGUGGGGUCCAUUCCACGGGUUCCGUGCCGUAGCUAACGCUUUAAGUACCCCGCCUGGGGAGUACGGCCGCAAGGCUAAAACUCAAAGGAAUUGACGGGGCCCCGCACAAGCGGCGGAGCAUGCGGAUUAAUUCGAUGCAACGCGUAGAACCUUACCUGGGUUUGACAUGGAUCGGGAGCGCUCAGAGAUGGGUGUGCCUCUUUUGGGGUCGGUUCACAGGUGGUGCAUGGCUGUCGUCAGCUCGUGUCGUGAGAUGUUGGGUUAAGUCCCGCAACGAGCGCAACCCUUGUUCACUGUUGCCAGCACGUUAUGGUGGGGACUCAGUGGAGACCGCCGGGGUCAACUCGGAGGAAGGUGGGGAUGACGUCAAGUCAUCAUGCCCCUUAUGUCCAGGGCUUCACGCAUGCUACAAUGGCUGGUACAGAGAGUGGCGAGCCUGUGAGGGUGAGCGAAUCUCGGAAAGCCGGUCUCAGUUCGGAUUGGGGUCUGCAACUCGACCUCAUGAAGUCGGAGUCGCUAGUAAUCGCAGAUCAGCAACGCUGCGGUGAAUACGUUCCCGGG